rnacentral:lncRNA from 1 species
AGGUUGCUGUGGCUCUGGCAUAGGCUGGAAGCUACAGUUCCCAUUAGACCCCUAGCCUGGGAACUCCAUAUGCUGCCAGUAUGGCCCUAAAAGGAAAAAAAGACCAAAAAAUAAAAAUAAAAACAUAUAUAUAUAGUUUUAUUCACUACAAUAUGCACUAUAGAAUGAUUAUAUUCCCUAUAAAAUGAUAAUAAUAAAUAUCUUUUUAAAAAGUUUAAUCUCAUGAAAGUUUACAAUGCUCCAUAUCAAAAAUAUAAUACUAGUUAAAUUGUAAUUUCCAAAGCCUUUGCUAACAUUAAGAUCAUAGGGAAAUGAUUAUUGAAUGUCUGAAUAAUUCUUCAAUAAAAUUUUUAAAAGAUAUAAAACACUGAUUAGUAAACAUAACUUAACCCAUAUCUCUUAAAAUGGCUAGGUUAACAAAAUAUAAAAAUGUCUUUGGGUAAUUACAUAUGUAUUUAUUUUAUAUAUACAUAUUUUUAUAUAUAAUGAUCAAAAGGAUAUGAAAUGAGUGUUAAGUAAUUGUUAUGAGGGACUUUCUACAGACUUAGUUUGAAAACACUGAUGCGUGUUUCUUGUGGUCUUUGCCUAGAGGGUCCUGACAAAACCAUGAUCCAAUCAGACAGUGAUGCCUGUUAACAUGUUGAUGGUGGAAACCUUUGGAGUCGUGUUUUCUGAGAGUAAUUCAGGCUUUUUUACUUAUUAUCACAAUUAAAAUAUUCACAUUCCAAAUGAGAAUGCUUAUGCUCUUUUUUAAAAAUGUUAUAGACUUUACAUGGUAUUGAUUCCCUCAAAAGACUGAGUAUUUCUCUAACUGACCUCAAGAUGGCAGGCUUGAAUAAAAGGUAUUUCCAUUUCAAAAUUCUUUCAAAAGUUUCUUUGAAGUGAAAUUAUGUGUGUGUGUUUAUAAGUUUUUUCUCACUCCAUAGAGAAUUUUAAAAAAUUCUGUGUUUCGACUGCCUUAAUUUUUUUCAUUGUUUUUUCAAAGGCCAUGAAAUUUUACAUGAGAAUUUGGAAACCUCUGAAAACGAAGAUACAUGGAAAAGGAAGCACCUUUAGGCAAAUGAAUUGGGACUGGAUGAGGGAUAGGCAUCCCCACUGCCCCAUGAAAGGGUUAAAUUAUUAUUGUAAUACUUUAAUUGCAGGAAACACUUAAAUAUUAGUUCUAAGUUACUAUCAUGCAUCUGUAGUAAUUAUAUAAUUGAAGUUUGGAGAAGAGUUUAUCCACUAUACCAAGUUGCCCUUGAAAAAGUAAAGACUAACAUAGGAACUGCAACAAGUGGGUUUGUCACACCAUAGAAUCUAAAAUUCUCCCCAAAGAAGUAAAACAGUAUUUUGAUUUAAUUGCCUUCAAAAACUGUUUGAUUUCCUUCCCCCUCUUAAUUUUUCUAAAAAAGACAAUGUAGCAUGGUAGUUAAUUAAAUACGUAGGUUUCAGAGCUAGACAAUCUCAAUAUCAGAUAUAAUUCUGCCUCUCGUGGCUGUGUGACUAUGGGCCUAUUACCUAACUUCUCUGUAAAAUGAGGAUACUAUCACUCAUGGGGCUGAUAUAAGAGUCAAGUCAGAUCAUGAAUGAAAAGCACUUACAUUUCAAUAAGUGACAGGCACUAUUAGUAUUAUUUUGAGGGGAUGAGGAGAGGGCAAGAUGAGGAGCAGCACUUAACAUAUUAUGAACUGUGAGUUACAACUCCAAAGGAUAAAUAAAAAUAUACUGACUUUUUAAAAGUAUAUGAGUUUCCACAGGUGGUCAAAAGACCCAACUUUUAGCAAUGAUUUUCCUAAAGAUUUGCUGUGAAAAAUUUUUUGAAAUUGUAUUGAAGUAUAAUUGAUUUAUAAUGUGUUAGUUUCUGGUAUACAGCAAAGUGUUAAGUUUUAAAAAUAUAUACAUAUAUUUGUUUUAAUAUUAUUUUUUAUUAUGUUUUAUGAUAGGAUAUUGAAUAUGGUUUCCUGUGCUUUAUGGUAGGCUCUUGUUUAUCUAUUUUAUAUACAGUUGUUUGCUUCUGCUAAUCCCAAACCCCUAAUUUAUCCCUCCUCCCUCUUUUUUCCUCUUUGGUAACCAAAAGUUUGUUUUCAAAGUCUGUGAGUCCAUUUCUAUUUCGUAAAUAAGUUCAUUUGUGUCAUAUUUUAGAUUCCAUGUGUAAAUGAAAUCAUAUGAUAUUUGUCUGUCUCUUUCUAACUUCAUUUAGUGUGGUAAUCUCUAGUCCAUCCAUGUCGCUGCAAAUGGCAAUAUUUCAUUCUUUUUUAUGGCUGAGUAAUACUCCAUUGUUUAUUUAUACCACAUCUUCUUUAUUGCUUCAUCUGUCAUUGACAUUUAGGUUGCUUCCAAAUCUUGGCUAUUACAAAUAGUGCUGCUAUGAACAUAGGGGUGCAUGUAUCUUUUUGAGUUAUAGUUUUGUCCAGAUAUAUGUCCAGAAGUGGAAUUGCUGGAUCUUAAGGUAAUUCCAUUUUUUUUUGUUUUUUGAGGAACCUCCAUGCUGUUAUCCACAGUGGCUAUCCAAUUUUCAUUCCCAUUAACACCGUAGGAGGGUUCUCUUUCUCCACACCCUCUCUAGCAUUUGUUACUUAUAAACUUUUAAAUGAUGCCCAUUCAGACUUGUAUGAUGUGAUACUUCAUUUUAGUUUUGAUCUGCAUUUUUCUAAUAAUGGAUAUGUUGUGAAAUUUGAAGCAUAUUUUCUAAUGACUUUAUGACUCGAAUUCUUCAUACAUUCUCCUAGCAUAUCUGUGACCACAAAAGUGGAUCAAAAAUCAUUAGGCAUUACUUGGAUGUUCUGUUCUGCAUAAGAAUCCUCAGACCUUCAGAAAAUUAUGAAUUUGGGGUAGGAUAGGGUUAUAGGAAACUCCUUGGGUCACCCAAUGCUCACCUCCAGUCUUGACUGGUUCUGUUUUGUCUUCCCUUGAUAUGUAGGCUCACUGUUUUGGUUCUGUUUUGUCUUCCCUUGAUAUGUAGGCUCAAAUAUUCAGUGAAGGAAGACAGUCAGAAUUCAUUAAACAUUGAACAAACCAAACUAUUUUCAUCAAAAUUAAAGUCAGGGAGUUUCCACUGUGGUGCAGAGGAAACAAAUCUGACUAGUAACCAUGAGGUUGCAGGUUUGAUCAUGGCCUCACUCAGUGGGUUAAGGAUCUUUCCUUGCUGUGAACUGUGGUGUAGGUCACAGAUGUGGCUUAGCUCAGAUAGGACUCCUAGUCUAGGAACCUCUAUAUGCUAUGGGUGUGGCCCUAAAAAGCGGGAGUCGGGGGCAGUGUCAGGAAAGCACCACCAGAGUGCUGUUGUUUACAAAUAAAAUACUUGUGUCAAUAAUGGCAAUGGACACCGGGGGGCAGUAACACACAGCACAUGCAACCUUAUCCUUCAAAUUUAAAUUAAUUAAAAACAAUUAAUUAAAAAUUUUUAAACAAGUUAAAUUAGUUAAAAAGUUAAAUUACUUAAAUAAUGGCUCUACCUCUCCACUUUGAAAAUGGAUUUCCCCAAUAGCUUCUGUUGUUCAAGAGAUGUUGUGCAGAGAUAUGUGGUCCAAAAUGUUGUUUUUUUGUUCCUUAAGUCAGUCAGAAGAUCUGAUUCAGUUUGUAAAUUCAGUUGUUAUCUCGACAAUUGACGGGACUCCACAACUUAAAUUGCUUGCCUUUUUCCUUAGACUCAGCAUUAGGACAGACUAUUUUUUAAAUUGACUUUUGCCAUUUUGUCUCAUUUUUAUGGUGAAUCACCAAUAUCUCUCUUUAAUUGCCUAUCUCAGGGUUCCUAAGUCAGACCAUCCUGGUUGAAGAGGCUGGAGGGAUGUGUUUCUGCUGCCCCCUGACGGUGAUGGUGGGCGGGGCAGCUGAGUGCUUCCAGGGAGGAGGGAUGGCUUCUGCUUCAUAACGGUUUCCAGGCUGGGGUCACCUUGAGACAGGUGCACGAAGGCACCAUGGAGAGAAAAAUAAAGAGACCUGGAGCCGCCUGUGGUUUGGGAACAGAUGGAGAACUGACCAAGCCCAGAUCUCGCCUUUCUCUGGGUCUGAACCUGGUGCAAGGUCCACCUCAGCCCCUGUGCAGAGCUGGCUCUGGCAGGACAGACGAUGGCAUCUCCCCGCUGGCUUUCCUGUCACUGUGAACCCUGUUUUUGUUUUUUUUACUGUUUUCAUAUUUCCUCAAGGGCCCCAGCAACUAUCAGCACUCAACCGACAGCUCCCGACUUAGCCCUUUUUGACUCUAGGGACCUGGGGAGGAAAGAUCACUAAAAAUCAACCAGAAAUAGGGGAAUAUCAAGUCCCCAAACCUCUGGGAAGCUACUAGCAUGUUUUUAUAGAUCAAAGGUGAUAAAGAAACCCUCAGGUAUCUGAGAUAUAUUGAAAAAUAAGGAUAAAUUGCAGGAUAUUUUCUAUCCUGGAAAAUAGAUAUUUUUUAUGGGCCUAUAUACAGUGCAUAGUAGGGAUCAGGUAUCCUUCAAAACUCAGUUAAUCUUUAUAAUGAUCUCUUGUAGUAAAGUACCAUAAUUAUACCCAUUCUACACACAGGGAAUAUGGGGCACAGAAAUAUUACAUGACUCAGCCAAAGAACGUAUGAUGUACUAAGUAUUAAAGCUUAGACCCGAGGCUAUACUCUUAUUAUUUAUUUAUUUAUUUAUGUCUUUUUAGGGCCACACCCAUGCCGUAUGGAUGUUCCCAGGCUAGGGUUUGAAUUGUAGCUGUAACCACAGGCCAUAACCACAGCCACAGCCAUACCAGAUAUGAGCCUGGUGUGUGAACUAUACCACAGCUUAUGACAAUGCUGGAUCCUUAACCCACUGAGCAAGGCCAGGGAUCGAACCUGCAUCCUCAUGGAAGCCAGUCAGAUUCAUUUCCCCUGAGCCAGGGUGGGAACUCCCCCAGAGGCUAUAUACUUAACUGCUAUGCUACAAUACUCUCAAAAUGAGAAGUUCAGCUUCCUUCUGGAAUGAAAGAAAACUUUGGAUUUCAGUAGUUGGAUUUGGAGGUAAGUAAUUUGUAUGCAUACAAUUUGUCAGUAUAAAAAAUAUGAUUUUUUACAGUGAAAUAUUUAACUCAUUUGAAACUUAUAAUGAGAUUUUUGCCUUUAGUUGUUUUAUUUCCACUCCCUAUUAAACUUUUUAAAAACUUUUAUUACCUCUAAUAGAAAUCAAGCAUCUCGAGGAAGAAUCACAUCUUUUGUUACUAUCUUUUUAGCGUUUGAUAUAUUUAGCAUGAGAUCUAGUCUAAGAGAGGCUUUUCAAGAAAUGCUUAGUAGCUGCUUCAGUAUUUUUUAAUAUUAUCUUGCUUAAUUAAUAUUCAUUAGGAGUUCCUGUCAUAGCUCAGCAGAAACGAAUCCAGCUAGGAACCAUGAGGUUGAGGCUUUGAUCCCUGGCCUCGCUCAGUGGGUUAAGGAUCCUGUGUUGCCAUGAGCUGUGGUGUAGGUUGCAGACACUGUGUGGAUCUGGUGUUGCUAUAGCUCUGGCUAGGCCAGCAGCUAUAGCUCCAAUUGGACCCCUAGCCUGGGAACCUACAUAUGCUGCAGGU